rnacentral:lncRNA from 10 species
GGCCAAAGUGGAUUGGCUGUGGUCUCGGUGUAGCACGAUGGAAUCUGGUGGCUUAAACCUAGCUGUCCACAUUUCACUAUCUGAAGAGCAGAAAAUGUGUUAAUAGGAGCCUGGUGAGUGGAGGAGACUGAAGAUGGAGAGAGAGCCUGGACCUCAACAUGAGCAUCUGGAGCCAUUUGGCAGCAUUAGGCUGUGACCGCUUAGAGAACCGAAAGGUGCAGAGCUUUAAAGGAUUAUGGAGUCUGAAGACCAAAUGGGAUGAUGGAGAACAGCUAUUCAGUGGUACAAAUGUAAAUGCUCCCAGGCCCGGGCAGAAAAGAGAAAACAUUUCCAUGGAAGAGGAAACAGGAAAUUCCAACAGAUCAGCAACAGUUGGAGUGCUAACCUGUCACUGGAAUGGGAAAAAAAAUGCUGUCGUUGACACAUCUUUUCCUUGUUUUUGACACAAAUUAGGGUCUAUCGCCCUGGUUGGAGUGCAGCAGUGUAAUCAUAGCUCACUGCUGCCAUGAACUUCUGGGCUCAAGCGAUCCUCCCACCUCAGCCUCCCUGUGUGCUGGGAUUAAAAGUGUGAGCCACCGUGCCUCAUCGUAAGGGUCUUAAAAGAAACCCUAUUUCAUACUUUCUUGAUGCACUUGAUAUGGAUUAUAUAAAUCUAUGGACAAAAAUGACAUCAGUACAAUGGAAUAUUGGAGUUUUCUACCAUAAUCUCUGCAUAGUGCACUGAUUUUGACAAUCACCUAUGGAUGAAAAUACAUUUGCCAGAGUCUAGGAGUUAAAUGGAAAAGUUAACAGCACACCGUUGGAGAAAAAUAUCUGGGAGUAGAUGCAUUCAAGGGAGUAAGAAGAACAAUUACCUGCAUCACCUCACCCCCAGGGUCCACUUCUUAGUGCCAAGAUAGACUCCCUUCAGCAGGCAAUUUCUCCCAUGGGGAAAAGGAGAGUAUAAUGAGUGAGUAUCCAGCUUUUCCAGCUGUGUGAGGCACAUCCCAAGAAGCCCAUCUUUCUUUCACUCAACUCAGAAUAUUGAGGGUAUUAGCAUGGCUAAGUGGCUGGGACAGGGCAGUAGCAGGAAAGAAAGGAGAGGACUCACAGCAACCAGGACUUGAAACUCAGUACAGGGUACAUAUCCUUUGAAGCAUUUCACAGAGCCCAUCAGGAGGCCCACCCAUGAACCACUUGGGACACCAUAUCUGUAGCAUCUCCCUGCAACUGGCCCAUAGGAGCCCCCGAUGUUUUGUGCAUAUUCCCCUUCCCUUUCUCCUAUAGUCAGUUGCCUGCACAUGCACUCCAGAUGGUGAGUGUGAGCAUUUACCUACAGCUUUUGAGUACAUGCAGUCAGCAGGCUCAACUUUGAAGGAUUGGGAGGAAUACAAAAUUGAGCAUUUCAGGGCACUGUCCUAGAGGAAACAAACAGAAAGCUUUCAGGACCCAGUUUGGUUUUGUGGAUUUAAGAGAAGACACACAAUCAUCAGAAUUUCUUCUCCACCCAUCCAAGAAGUGUGGAUUGGGUGAAUCCAUAGAAAAGAUCUGAGAGAGCCUCAGAUUCCCUAUAGGCUCACUGUUGAAGAUAUUUCUCUCAAAUCCAGUCAGUAAAGACUAGAGAAAGUGACUCUUUCUUCAAAUGUGAAGACAGCAGUGCAAGACUUUGAGGAACAUGAAAAAUCAAGGACACCUAGUACCACCAAAGGAACAUAAUUUUCUGGUACCCAACCACAAAGAAAUGGAGAUACACAAAUUGUCUGACAAAGAAUUCACAACAAUUGUUUUAAGGAAGUCAGUAAGCUACAAGAGAACACAGAGAACUUAAUGAUAUUAAGAAAGCGACACAUGAACAAAAUAAGAUGUUCAACAAAAAGAUAGAAAUUAUUAAAAACAACCAUGAUUUUCGAGCUGAGAAUACAAUGAAUGAAAUGGAAAACACAAUAGAGUUUCAAUAGCAGACUUGAUCAAGCAGAAGAAAGGGUCUGUCAACUCAAAUACUAGUCAUUUGAAAUUAUUCAGUAAAAGAAAUAAAAAGGAAUGAAAAAUGCUUAUGCGAUUGAUGCAACACCAUGAAGAGUAGUCAUAUAUGCACUAUGGGAGUCUCAGAAAAAGAAAGAGAUAAAGGGGAAGAAAACUAACUUAAAGAACUAGAUCAGUCUCUCCUUAUCUGUAGUUUUGCUUUCCUUGGUUUCAGGUACAGUACAAUGAUAUGUUUUAAGAGACAGACAAUGAAAGAGAACAUGCAAAUAUUGACAUAAUUUUUAUUACAGUAUAUUGUCAUAGUUUUUCUAUUUUGUUAUUAGUUGUUAUUCUCUUACUGUGCCUAAUUUAUACAUUAAACUUUAUCAUAGGAAUAGUGGUGGUGGCCUGUCUGGAGUGGCCACUGCCAGGAUGCCAGCUGCAGCAGGGGAGGUGUAGCUGGGGCUGUGCACUCCGCAGAGCUGGGGGGGGCCAGGAACAGGUGAUCCUAGUGGGAGCCCUAUAUGCUACUGAGUUAGUGGGGUGGGAGCCUGUGCUCCCAGGCAUAGCUGCAGCUGCCCAGCCAUGGCUCCAGCCCUAGGCAUACCUGUGCUCUCAGGGGCCCUGGAAGUCCCCUGCCCUUACAGGCUUGGAAGUGCCUGCUCCCAUUCCCUGGCCUCUUUCCACUGCUGGCACCUGCUCUGUGGCAGAGCAAAGUUGUGGAUGUGUUGUGAUAGCUGAGCCUGGGAGCUGUUGUGACGUGGUCAGGUGUGUGUGUUCAGGGCAGUUCUGAUACACCAGACUCCCCACUGCCUUUGCCCCCUCUGGAAACUGCUUCUGAGGCUGAAACUUUGGAUAUUAAUGAGCAAGGAUGGUGGGGGAGGCCAGGACGGCUGAGGGCAGCUAGGUGUGGGCCUGUGGACACCCCUUAGUGCGGACAGUCUGGGUGCUGUGGAUGGCAUGUUGAUGGCAGCGAGAGGCAGACAUGUUCCUAGGUGGGAACGGGUGGGUCCCUGGUGAAACCUCACCUUCAAGCCAGGGACAGCUUGAAGCAUGGGGGCCUGGCUGCCAGUUCCGGUUGCAGUCUGUGACCUGGAGUGAAAACUUCAUUGAUGUCUUUCAGCCAAUUGGAUGGUGCUUUUUCCAGACCCACAAAUGGCUGCCCAUGGACCAAGCAGUAUGUACUUCCUCCAUUCUGAGCCCAUGAAAACCCCAGACUCAGUCAGACUCUGACACUCAUCAGGAUGACAAGCCUGCAAAUAGGAUCUACCCAUUUUGGGUAUGCACUCCACUGAGAGCUAUUCUGUCACUCAAUAAAGCUCCUUUCUGCCUUGCUCACCCUCCAGUUAUUCACAUAACCUCAUUCUUCCUGGAUGUGGGACAAGAACUCAGGACCUGCUGAAUGGUGGGAGGGAAAGAAGCUGUAACAUGUUCCUGGCCAGCUCACCAAGCUGCAGGUGGUGACAUACUCCUGGACUAUGGGAGUGAAGAGUAGUGACCCUUCUGGGGGCCCAGACCUUGAGAUUCUCCGAGCCAGAGCUGCAGUAACACUAUAGCUCUCCUGCCCUCUGCUGGUGCUGGGUGGCCCCCCAAUGCAACAGGACGCAGCAGCAGGCCUGGGCCAGCCCAGGAGCUGGGAGCCUGAGUGGGGUGGUGGAACUGAAAGGGCUAUAACACAAACCAACCAAAACAUGCCCCACUCACUUGCUGCACUGUGGGUGAGGAGAAGGAGAAAAGAGCUGCAGCCCUUCUAGGAAGCCAGACUUUGGGGCUCCCUGAACUAGGGCUGUGACAUGCUGUAACACCUUCUUUAGGAUUCUGCACUUCCUGGCCUCUCUGAGAUUUUGGAUGCCACCGUGUUCCCUUUGUCCAGAUGCUGGUGUCCGCAGCAGAAGCCACUUGUGAUAUAUCUGGUCCAGCUGCAGCUUCACAUGGAUGAGGUGCCUGUGCCGGUGCCUGUGCCAGUGCCUGGAGCUGCCCGCCCCACCACAGCAGCUAGCAUGCCUGGCUGUGUGCAGUGCCAGAUCCCACACUUGCUCACUCACACACACCUCACCGCUCCAUGCCUGGCUUGCCCUUGGAAGGAGUACGAUCCAGGCCGGUAGCAUGAGCCAAGUGCAGCCUGCCAGCCUGAGUGGACAGAACAAGCCCAGGGGGCAUGAACAAAACUCAAGCAGAAGCACUGCUGUCCACAGAGGUUUCUGGCUGGCAAAGCAACACCCUAAGGAUCCUAUGACAAUAGGUAU